UGGAGCCUGCUUUGCUCAGUUCAUGGGCAGUU
rnacentral:piRNA from 1 species